GCUAAACGCGAAGAACCUUACCUGGGCUUGAACUGUCGGUAUAGGGACCCGAAAGGGCGACGAUCCCGGGCAACCGGGAAGCCGAUAGAGGUGCUGCAUGGCUGUCGUCAGCUCGUGUCGUGAGAUGUUGGGUUAAGUCCCGCAACGAGCGCAACCCUUGUCUUUAGUUGCCAGCGAGUCAUGUCGGGCACUCUAAGGAGACUGCCUCGGAUAACGAGGAGGAAGGUGGGGAUGACGUCAAGUCAGCAUGGCCUUUAUGUCCAGGGCUACACACGUGCUACAAUGGGCGGCACAGAAGGACGCGAGACCGCGAGGUCAAGCCAACCCUUAAAACCGUUCUCAGUUCGGAUUGCAGGCUGCAAUUCGCCUGCAUGAAGUCGGAAUCGCUAGUAAUCGCGGAUCAGCUACGCCGCGGUGAAUACGUUCUCGGGUCUUGUACACACCG
rnacentral:rRNA from 1 species